rnacentral:lncRNA from 1 species
UUCUGCAUUAAGAAGAAUGUCUUGGAUCUUGCCUACAUUCCAGGGACCCUGCCUGAGCUGCUGCUGCACCCCUAUUAUUUUGACCACUCCAGGUUAUUGCAAGAUGUUCAGUAUAGUUGCCUGUGCUCUACAUUAUAGGAUCACAAGUCCUCUUGGCAUGAGGGCUGUGGAAGUGCCGUGGCAGAAAUGAUGAAGACGACGCCGGGAAAGUAAGAAAGGUUCCAGUUUCUGCAGUCGUGGGAGUCCGAAAGCAGUGUGAUCACUCUCAGAUCUAAAAGUUGUAGAUCCCAAGGGAGGGUUACUGACACCAAGGAAUGCAACGGAUGCAGUUAAGGAGGAAGUUGAGACUGUCACCUGGUCACUUUGACUUGUUACUGAAGCCACAGUCAUGUGUUUCAGAUACCAGGAAUCAUCAGAACAUGCUGGUGUGAACAGUUAAGAAACAGAACUGUUUCAGAGUCCUGUUUUGCUACAGUGUUCUAUACUGAGGGGCCACUGAAUAAUAUAAUUAAAACAGGCUGCAGAAAAGGCUCAAGAUGGUGGAGUAGAAAGACCCUGAGCUCACCACCUCUUACGGGUACACCAAGAUGACAAUUUACAGAACUAUCAAUGAAAAAGACUUGAACCUACCAGAAAAUAUAUCCUACAACUAAAGAUAUGAAGAAAGAACACUCAUGAGAUGGGUACGAUGGGCAGAGUUGGGAUAAGGUCAAGACCCAUAUCCCUGGGAAGGCAAUCCACAAAUGGGAAAAAAAUUACACUUGCAGAGGUUCUCCCCAAGGAGCAAGGGAUGUGAACUCCAUAUACUGCUCUCCAGCCUGGGGGUCCUGCCCUGGGGAGGUGAGUCCCCAGAACGUUUGGCUUUGAAGGCCAGUCGGGCUUACUUUUGGGAGACCCAGUGGGCUGUGAGAAAUAGACACUCCACUUUUAAAGAGUGUACAAUGGGUCCCAUUGUGGCUCAGUGGGUUAUAAACCCAACGAGUACCCACCCAUGAGGAUGUGGGUUUGAUCCCUGACCUUGCUCAGUAGGUUAAAGACGCCAGAGCUAUGGUGUAGGUCACAGAUGUGGGUGAGAUUUUGUGUUACUGUGGCCAUGGCUGGCAGCUGCAGCUCUGAUUUAACUCCUAGCCUGAGAACUU